rnacentral:rRNA from 1 species
GAGUUUGAUCCUGGCUCAGAUUGAACGCUGGCGGCAUGCCUUACACAUGCAAGUCGAACGGCAGCACGGGUGCUUGCACCUGGUGGCGAGUGGCGAACGGGUGAGUAAUACAUCGGAACAUGUCCUGUAGUGGGGGAUAGCCCGGCGAAAGCCGGAUUAAUACCGCAUACGAUCUGAGGAUGAAAGCGGGGGACCUUCGGGCCUCGCGCUAUAGGGUUGGCCGAUGGCUGAUUAGCUAGUUGGUGGGGUAAAGGCCUACCAAGGCGACGAUCAGUAGCUGGUCUGAGAGGACGACCAGCCACACUGGGACUGAGACACGGCCCAGACUCCUACGGGAGGCAGCAGUGGGGAAUUUUGGACAAUGGGCGAAAGCCUGAUCCAGCAAUGCCGCGUGUGUGAAGAAGGCCUUCGGGUUGUAAAGCACUUUUGUCCGGAAAGAAAUCCUUGGUUCUAAUAUAGCCGGGGGAUGACGGUACCGGAAGAAUAAGCACCGGCUAACUACGUGCCAGCAGCCGCGGUAAUACGUAGGGUGCAAGCGUUAAUCGGAAUUACUGGGCGUAAAGCGUGCGCAGGCGGUUUGCUAAGACCGAUGUGAAAUCCCCGGGCUCAACCUGGGAACUGCAUUGGUGACUGGCAGCUAGAGUAUGGCAGAGGGGGUAGAAUUCCACGUGUAGCAGUGAAAUGCGUAGAGAUGUGGGAGGAAUACCGAUGGCGAA